rnacentral:pre_miRNA from 1 species
GUCAAACUCAUCUAACUUUAAACAAGUUACUAGAAAAAUGCACCAACAUCUAGAAUAUCAAAUUAGCUUCAUUAAAUUUUCCACGAAAUGUCUUGGUAGUGUGUUUAUUAAACUAGUAUAUGUUAAUAUAAUUUUCUAAAAACUUGGUCAAAAAGUUAGAGAAGUUUGACUUAG